GGGCACAGACUGUAUGCCAGGCAUGGUGCAGGGCAUUGGGGAUAUGGUAAAGCCCAAGACAGGUGGGAACCUGCUCUCACAGAGCUUACAGUCCACUGGGAAGAUGGAAGAGAGCCCCAAAUACAGGACAGUUGAAUGGGGCUCCAGGGGCUUGUCCAGAGAAGAUUUCAGAGCCAGCGGGUGCCAAAGCCUUUGUCUGUGAUCAGUGCGGUGCACAGUUUUCGAAGGAGGAUGCCCUGGAGACACACAGGCAGACCCAUACUGGCACUGACAUGGCCGUCUUCUGUCUGCUGUGCGGGAAGCGCUUCCAGGCGCAGAGCGCACUGCAGCAGCACAUGGAGGUCCACGCGGGCGUGCGCAGCUACAUCUGCAGUGAGUGCAACCGCACCUUCCCCAGCCACACGGCCCUCAAACGCCACCUGCGCUCACAUACAGGUGACCACCCCUACGAGUGUGAGUUCUGUGGCAGCUGCUUCCGGGAUGAGAGCACACUCAAGAGCCACAAACGCAUCCACACGGGUGAGAAACCCUACG
rnacentral:sRNA from 1 species